GUCCAGCUGGGAUAGCUCAGUUGGUAGAGCAUGGGACCCUUAAUCUCAGGGUUGUGGGUUCGAGCCCCACGUUGGGCA
rnacentral:tRNA from 1 species